AACAGAACCUGUAGAUGUUUUGAAGCGGAGAUUUCAACAAGUGACCUGCCUGCUUGGUCAUACCAGGUUCUGUGGGGAGGAAAAAAAAUGUCCUUAGUCCGGAUGAAUAACAAAACACCAACCAGGAGAUUGAAGUUAGUAAAGCUGACUCACUUCCUGGUUUCCAGAUGAAAGGAGUUGUCCAAGAAAUGACUCUCACAAGGAAAUACUUCCCUCAAUUGACUAGCUGUGUCUUUUUUAAGCUUGAUUGACUAUCACGGUGGCCUGUCAGUAGUUUGGUAUGUUGAAAAGUAAAACUUAAUUAUUAAAUAAUUCUAUGUAUUAAGAGGUAGCUCCCUCAAUUUGUGAGAACUGCUGACUUCAGAGAGCCCUCAGAAGAAAUGGCUGUGUUGUAUAAGCAUGUGUCCUGAUGACUGAAAAAUCCCCCAGUUAGUGAGGUAUGGCAGCAAUGUCACAUGGAGGAUGAAUGUAGACCAAGAAGGCUGUGCUGGAGGAAGCUCAGAAGGGUCGAGCUGGAGGUGCACUCACCGUUGGUAUCCGGAGAGGGUAGAAGCACACAAGGCUGUGGACUUUUCAGCUAUGUUGUGUUAACAGACUGACUCAGCAGGAGGUGCCUACAUGGGAAAGAGACAGUCUAUCUUCACUGCAGCCCCCACAAGGACAUUAUGGGAAAUCAGGAAAAUUCUGCCUCCCUGACUUGCUGUGACUUGCUGUAUUCCCCUGGGUACUGAUCAGGCUACAUUCCUCAAGGCUAGUUGGGAACAUAUUUAUUUAAAAAAAAAUACAGGAAGACAAACAUGUUGAGAGAAAAAUAUCUAAUCAGUUCCUCUGAUAAUUAUCAAAAGUCACAGCUAGUUUCCUUCUGAACUCAAUGUCUGUUGUUAUUGUUUGUUUUGUUUUGUUCUUUUGAAACAGGGUCUCACUCUGUAGAUCUGGCUGCCCUAGAACGCCCCACACUGACCAAGGCUGAAACUCACAGAGAUCUGUCUGCCUCUGCCCUCCUCUACAGCUCUGAGAUUCAAGUCAUAUCGCCAUACUGAGCCUAAACUCCAUUCCAAUAGCACUUUCUAAAAGUGGGACUAGAACUAUAAAUAAGAAUUCCCACUUUCAUUCAUUUCUAAUGCACUCAUUACUCUUCCUUAACUCUCUCCCUGCUUGGUAUGUCUGCUUCUGAAUUCUCCUAUAAUUCUAAUAGUUGUAUGAUUCUUGUUAUUGAGAAACCACAAAUUGUAAAGCAUAUUAGACAGGGCACAUUCAAAAAUAACCGUCCUUCCUGCUGUUUGGCUAAAGCCACUUGCUUGUUUGGGGUUGCUAAUGGGAAUAAGUGAGUAUGUGUGAUUACCUCUAGAGCCAGCUUGUUUGCUCAGAGGGAAAAUUCAUGGACCGGCCACAGGCUACAUUCCAGAACAUUAGCCAACCACUCUGCAGACUUCUGCAGCUGGGUCCUAGAACUGUCUGCUAACAAGACUGGAAAGGCUAUGAGCCUGUAAGGCAGGGGUCCUUUUACCGGAGGUCAAUCCAAGCGCUAAUUAACUAGUCUUGUUUUCUUUA